rnacentral:lncRNA from 1 species
UGAAUAUAAAGUUAAAAUUUUAGCUCGGUGCCGUUGCCUUCAAUGUACAAAAUUCAGACAUAAUUUAUCCUGGUAUAUCCAAGAAGCACCUUUUCAUGAGGAAAGUUAUGUUCCUUGCUUUGCAAUGCGAGGAAAGUUAAUUAACUUUGCAAAAACAUCUUAAAAUACAUGUUUAUUGACCUUGCUUGAAUAGCAUUUACAUAACGAUAAUUGUUUGUUUUAAAAUGUUCAUUUAAUCAAGGAUCAUAAAAAAAAAAAUACUAUGUACAAUUGUAAAUAAAAAGGCC